ensembl:lncRNA
GCCCUGUGUAAAACGAGUCUAAUGGCUUUGCUAUUGUUUUGCUGCUGUAGCCACUUCAGCAUCUGGUGAACAUUCUUACUUACAGCACUUCAUCCUGACACACCUCAAACGACCUUCAGCCAUACAUUCUGACCUCGGGUCAUUCGCAACCUGUGACAUCACUUUCCUUCUUUACGGUGUCCAUUUGUUUUCAGAUCAGCCACAAACAAAACACUUCAGUGGCCUUCAGUGUCAAAUCUCACAACUCUAAUGUUUCACAUUUUUAUUUUUACUGUUGAUUUCUAGUGCUUUUUGGCCAAGUUAGCUUUGUAGCUAUAGGUACACACACACACACCUAUAUAUACACACACACACCUACACCUACACACACACUUAUAUACACACACAUACCUACACACACAUUUAUAUACACCCACACUUAUAUACACACACACAUACCUAUAUACACACACACACACCCCUACACACAUACACACCUACACCUACACACACACCUAUAUAUAUACACACACAUACAUACACACCUACACUUACACACACACUUAUAUACACACACAUACCUAUACACACACACACACACCCCUACACACAUACACACCUACACACACACUUAUAUACACACACAUACCUAUAUACACACACACACACACACUUAUAUAUACACACACACACACACAUACCUACACACACACAUCUACACACACACAUCUACACACACACACACACACACCCCUACACACACUUAUACACACAUACAUCUACACACACACUUAUACACACACAUACCUACACACACAUACACCCCUACAUACACACAUACCUACACACACACAUACACACUUACACGCACACUUAUACACAUGCACAUACCCACACACACAUACCUACACACACACUUAUAUACACACACACACAUACCUACACACACAUACACCCAUAUACGCACACUUAUAUACACACAUACCUACACACACUUAUACACAUGCACAUACCUACACACACACUUAUACAUAUGCACAUACCCACACACACAUACUACACACACAUACACCCCUACACACACACUUAUAUACACACGCACAUACCUACAUGCACACACACACCCCUACAUGCACUUAUAUACACACACACAUACCUACACACACACAUACACCCCUACACACACAUUUAUAUACACACACACACAUACACCCCUGCACACACACUUAUAUACACACACUCCUACAUGCACAUUUAUCUGGACACAACCACACACACACACACACACACACUUUGAACACACAAACACACACAAACCCACACACCUAUCACACACACACUCAUGCACACACCUGCCACUUAUUUACCCACUCUCACACACAUAACACACACACACACACAUGCAGAUAACACACAUACACACACACACACCCACACCAAACAUACACACAUAAAACACGCACUAAACACACACAAACAAAACAAAUGCACACAUAGAAAAGCUGCACAAACACACUUGUUGCUUCAGAGCAGAUACAGAGAGAAACAAGUCAAUGCCUGUUUACAUACCUCACCUACUGUGUGUG